rnacentral:tRNA from 1 species
GGGGGUAUAGCUCAGUGGGAGAGCGCAUGUGAGAUCCUGGGUUCAAUUCCCAGUACCUCCA